rnacentral:misc_RNA from 1 species
GUCACAAAAGCCUGCUCAAGCUUUGCCCUACUGGGAGUUCGAAUUGAGAGCAGCUUUUAGAGAAAUCACUCGCUCAGUCUCUAAGGAGCAUGGCAACCUCUUUCCUGUCUCAGCUCUCAGCCCCAACUCCAGAACUGGCGACUCCAUCUUCUGGCCUUCCAAAUUCCUCUUUCCUCUCUACCACCAAGCUCGUCUUCUUGACCAAUACAAGAAAACAGAGAUUAGUUCAACAGAGAUGCUACAAGCCCCCUUC